GACGAACGCUGGCGGCGUGCCUAAUACAUGCAAGUCGAGCGAAUCGAUGGGAGCUUGUUCCCUGAGAUUAGCGGCGGACGGGUGAGUAACACGUGGGCAACCUGCCUAUAAGACUGGGAUAACUUCGGGAAACCGGAGCUAAUACCGGAUACGUUCUUUUCUCGCAUGAGAGAAGAUGGAAAGACGGUUUACGCUGUCACUUAUAGAUGGGCCCGCGGCGCAUUAGCUAGGUGGUGAGGUAAUGGCUCACCAAGGCGACGAUGCGUAGCCGACCUGAGGGGGUGAUCGGCCACACUGGGACUGAGACACGGCCCAGACUCCUACGGGAGGCAGCAGUAGGGAAUCUUCCGCAAUGGACGAAAGUCUGACGGAGCAACGCCGCGUGAACGAAGAAGGCCUUCGGGUCGUAAAGUUCUGUUGUUAGGGAAGAACAAGUACCAGAGUAACUGCUGGUACCUUGACGGUACCUAACCAGAAAGCCACGGCUAACUACGUGCCAGCCGCCGCCGUAACAC
rnacentral:rRNA from 1 species